UACGGAGGGUGCGAGCGUUGUCCGGAAUCACUGGGCGUAAAGGGCGCGUAGGCGGCUUGGGAAGUCCGUGGUGAAAGCUCGAGGCUCAACUUCGAGUCGGCCAUGGAUACUCCUAAGCUCGAGUCGACUAGAGGCAGAUGGAAUUCCGGGUGUAGCGGUGGAAUGCGUAGAGAUCCGGAAGAACACCGGUGGCGAAGGCGGCUCACUGGCUCAUUUCUGACGCUCAGGCGCGACAGCGUGGGGAUCGAAACAGG
rnacentral:rRNA from 1 species